UAUGCCUGUAGUGGAAGAACUCCUCCGUGAUUUGCCUUCUCUGCCGAGCAUCCAUGGUUGGAAGAUACAUGAUAAUUCCAACCCAUGAGAAUAUAUCAUCAUCCGCUGAGCUAUAAGCUGGACUCAUUCGACUUUUACUGCAAGCAGUCCAUCUCUGCUCUAUAGGUGCAGGGGCAGGUACACUUUCUUUCUCAAUGAGCUGCAUCAACUCCUCUAUGUACUCCAGGUCUUUCAUGCUAGGCUUUGAGAGUGUACCUGCAGGGAAACAUGUCUCUGAUACCCACUGGUGGCCACCACAGUCGAACCCUAAAAUUUCAUCACUCCAGCCAACUCGAUACCCUUCUGAUUUCCUCCAGUAUUCUGCCUCAGCUUUGUUGACUUUAAUUACAUGCUCCUUGUUGAGAGGAUCCAUCGCAAGUAGUUUAUCUCUCAGUUCAGUGAAUGAUAGUUCAACUAUUUCAGGUUCACUUGGAGAACCAGAAUCUCUGUACUUAGUCAACGACUCCAAAUAGAGAUCUCGGACAUGCUGCAAGGCUUCUUCUGCAGUAUAUUUAGGUUUGUUCUUUGGUGGACCUUUCUCCUUAGACAUAGGAUUGCAUGUCACAACCACAACGGCAUCAGUAUACGGAAUGUACAAGUAUUUGACAUGCUUGUUCUCGGAUAGGAAUUUCUUGUGAUUUUUCUUGAUAUCUUUCAUGUUAGACAGGAAUGUAUGUUCUACAAGCUCCUGCCUCUCAACACACUGAAGAGUGACUUCUGCAACCACACCAAGUCCCCCAAGUCCACAUCGAGCUAGAUAAAAGAGUUCUGGAUCUUUCUCUUUUGAAAUUUCUAUUGUGCCUUUGGCAGGGGUAACCACUUUCAUGCUUAUGACUUGUUCAUCAAUUGGAGGCAACCUGGCACCAGUGCCAUGGGCACCAACCUGAA
rnacentral:misc_RNA from 1 species